AACGAACGCUGGCGGCAGGCUUAACACAUGCAAGUCGAGCGAGACCUUCGGGUCUAGCGGCGGACGGGGGGGUAACGCGUGGGAACGUGCCCUUCUCUACGGAAUAGCCCCGGGAAACUGGGAGUAAUACCGUAUACGCCCUUAGGGGGAAAGAUUUGUCGGAGAAGGAUCGGCCCGCGUUGGAUUAGGUGGUUGGGGGGGUAAUGGCCCACCAAGCCGACGAUGCAUAGCUGGUUGGAGAGGAUGCCCAGCCACACUGGGACUGAGACACGGCCCAGACUCCUACGGGAGGCAGCAGUGGGGAAUCUUAGACAAUGGGGGCAACCCUGAUCUAGCCAUGCCGCGUGAGUGAUGAAGGCCUUAGGGUUGUAAAGCUCUUUCAGCUGGGAAGAUAAUGACGGUACCAGCAGAAGAAGCCCCGGCUAACUCCGUG
rnacentral:rRNA from 1 species